GCCGGCCAGCAUCCCGCUCCCUUUGACCCGCAGUCUGUGCGGGAAGUAGGCCCGGAGUGGUGCCAGCAGGAGGUGGCCUUAGAAAGGCGGAGACCCAAGGAGCAGAGUGAGUCGGCGUCCAGCUCCACCUGAAAGCGCCAUCUUGUCGCCACUUCCCUCAGGAGCAGAUCAAAAGGACCUAAUGAAAUGUUUGUGGAACCUGUGUAAAACAUGCUGCACAAAGAUGUAAAUAAAUCAACCCAUGAACUCCUAGUACCCUGACCGCAGCGUAUGUAAGAUCAAUAAAUAGCU
rnacentral:lncRNA from 1 species